rnacentral:rRNA from 1 species
UGGGGAAUAUUGCACAAUGGGCGAAAGCCUGAUGCAGCAACGCCGCGUGAGCGAUGAAGACCUUCGGGUCGUAAAGCUCUGUCCUCAAGGAAGAUAAUGACGGUACUUGAGGAGGAAGCCCCGGCUAACUACGUGCCAGCAGCCGCGGUAAUACGUAGGGGGCUAGCGUUAUCCGGAAUUACUGGGCGUAAAGGGUGCGUAGGUGGUUUCUUAAGUCAGAGGUGAAAGGCUACGGCUCAACCGUAGUAAGCCUUUGAAACUGGGAAACUUGAGUGCAGGAGAGGAGAGUGGAAUUCCUAGUGUAGCGGUGAAAUGCGUAGAUAUUAGGAAGAACACCAGUUGCGAAGGCGAUUCGCUGGAAUGUAACUGACGCUGAGGCUCGAAAGCGUGGGGAGCAAACA